CUUCUUGAUCUCUGCCUUGAAGGCCUCCGCCUCGCCAUUCUGGUCGUCCUUGGCCAGCAGGUCCAUGAGGGACACCAGUCCCUACGAAGACCUUGGGCGAUUUUGAAGUGCGGGCACCUCGAUUCCCCGAAUCUGUAGUGUGGCUGGUAUCGGUGUUCCCCUGGUUUAACUAGCCUGUUUGAUGGGGAAAUUGAGGCAGAGAAGCCAAGACAUGUGCUAAAGGUCAUGCAGGCUAUGAAUGGAGCUGGAAUGUGAACGCAGGCCAUAUGACCCCAGAGCCCAUGUUCUUGAACCCUUAGAAAGACAGCAGCAACACACCUGGUGCAGCAGCUGCUUAGUUGGAGUGGCUGACAAGGAGAGAAUGAUUUCCAGGAAGAGCGGAACACAUAUGGAAGGCCUUAGCUUAUCUUUAGCGCCUCAUACACCCGUUCUGGACUUCAGAAAGGCCAGUGAGUGGGAUUAGGCCUCAGAGAUAGGAUGUCAGUCCCAGUGAGGGAUGGCCUAGAGCAUUCUUUAAUUCUUUCCUUUGGGUCACACAUAAGAAACAAUUUUCCAGCACUGAUGAGUGUUAUUAACAAUGAGAUGGGAUAGAAUUUAGUUUUCCCUAUGGCUGUGCUUCAAAAAUAGAAAAGCUGUCUUUUCUCUGGAAUGAUUGAAUGAAGCUCUGGGGAGGAAAAGGUGGAUUGGCAGAUCUCUUAAAGGAAGCUUCUCCUUCUAGGCACUAUUCUAAGGCUUAAUAUUUUAACUCCCUAUAUUAACCUAGUUCAACUAAACAGUGAUCUGAGUAAUUUUAUUUUUAUUAAAGCUCAGAUCAAAAUGCCAUUAACAUUGAUUGAGAAAAUCAAAGGAAUCUUUGAUGUGAGUGGUUAAAUUGCUGAAUUAUUUCAGUCCCAUACCCUCACAGCAUGAGUACCUGAUCUGAUAGACUUCUUUGGAAUUCCUUUUUUGUUUGAGACAGAGUCUUGCUCUGUCGCCCAGGCUGGAGUGCAGCGGUGUGAUCUCAACCAUUGCAACCUCCACCUCCCAGGUUCAAGUGAUUCUCAUGCCUCAGCCUCCUGAGUAGCUGGGAUUACAGAUGUGCACCACCAUGCCCGGCUAAUUAUUUUGUAUCUUUAGUAGAGAUGAAGUUUUGCCAUGUGGGCCAGGCUGUUCUCAAACUACUGGCCUCAAGUGAUCUGCCCGCCUCGGCCUCCCAGACUGCUGGGAUUACAGGCGUGAGGCACCGUGCCUGGCUGGGAUUCCAUAAUAAAUCCCUCUGUGUCUAUUUCUUUUUUCAAAUAUAAUUUUCUUCAUUUCCAAACAUCAUCUUUAAGACUCCAAGGAUUUUUCCAGGCACAGUGGCUCAUACCUGUAAUCCCAUUGCUUGGAGAGGCCAAGGUGGAAGUUCAUUUGAGGCCAGGAGUUCGAGACCAGGUGGGCAACAUAGUGAAACCUUGUCUCUACAACAUAAAAAAAAAAAUAAAACCCUAAGGAAAUAAUGGUGCCUCACUACCUUUCAAAGCUUUUGACCUUCAAGUCAGAAAAUAAAUUAUUUUUAGGAAAGGCAUCUCAACCUUAUUUACAAAUGAACUAUUUGUCAAGAGCAACCUCUAUAAGGAUAAUAGGACUUCCUGGUUUGAAAUGCAGCAUGAACAAUUCUCAGAGGCUCCUGGAAGACUAAGAAUGAGGUUUCUUGAUCCGCCUUCCCUCGGCAUCUUCUCACUCUCUUCCCUCCUUCUCAGAAGCUGUGUGCAGCAAUGGGCUAUGCAACUGGUUUCACUGGUGCCUGGUAGAACUUUUAAUUCCUCCCUGUCAGCACAUCCCUAGUCCACUUUCAUAGUUUGGAUAAGGACUGGAUAAGCAGCUGAACUUCUGGGGACUUUUCCAAAUGAAAUUCAACCUUUAGACCUUUGGAGGUUUACCCAGUCUUCCUCACUACCCGAAGAUGAGUUUGGAACAAAUUUUCUCUUAAUGGAUUCUAUUUGUGGGUAGGAGAGGUAAUGACUGCCUUGCUCAGAGUCAUGAGCAUAACUUCAAAUAAGGAAAAAGAGCCUCGCAGGAAUGUGAGAAUAGAUGCGAUCCUGAGGAAGGUGUGUCUGAGGAGGUGCUGGGAGGUUCUGAUCGGCUGUUGAAGGCAGAUACUGUAUCUCACGUGACAGAAGUCACCUCCUGACAUCAGAGUUGUGUUUGAGUGGUAAUUUAAAAAAUAAUAUAGCUGACAAGGAAAUGUGGAAGGCAUUACGUUGCAAUACAGUGAAAUGAACAUACAACAUUCAAGAUCAAUUACCGGGUACUGAUUAGCUGGGAGAAAGGCAAUAAAACUUUAAAAAUAGAAUUGGUAGAAAUAGCACCCUGUCAAGGUGGGACUGACUAUGCCUCCUGCUGGUUUGUUGCGAGGAAUUCUUUUUUUGGGAAAAUCCUGUUGAAUUGUGUGGCUUGUGAAUCUGGCUCUAGAACUGUUAAUGUUAUAAGAAUUGAAAGAGGACUAUUUAAAAAUACCAAGACAUCUUUUAAAAUUCCUAUUUUUAGAACAGCUACUUGUCAUUAAAAUAAAUCAUUCCAUUUCUAUUUGUCCAGGUUACUGCUUUCACAGCAGGGCCAGGGCUAUGGUGAAGUGUGGGAGGUGCCCAGUCCCCUUCACUGCAGUCAUGGCUCUGUUUCAUGCCACAUGUGUUAUUUUAUAAGUGGUUAAGCCCCACAUAGGCAUGCAAACAUGGUACAUCUCUAUGUAUUGGUUUUGGUAAUGUUGUAAAUAAUUGGGAGAAUACAUUAAAAUUUGGUAAUAGUGCUCCUUUGGACUCAGUCUCUUUUUUUUUUUUUAAGACAGAGUUUCGCUCUUGUUGCCCAGGCUGGAGUGCAAUGGCAUGAUCUUGGCUCAUUGCAACCUCUGCCUCCUGGGUUCAAGCAAGUCUCCUGCCUCAGCCUUCCUGAGUAGCUAGGAUUACAGGCAUGUGCCACUAUGCCCGGCUAAUUUUGUAUUUUUAGUAGAAAAGGGGUUUCUCCAUGUUGGUCAGGCUGGUCUUGAAUUCCCGACCUCAGGUGAUUCCAGUUCUAAUUCCCCAACAGAGUUGUCUUGGUUGCAGUGAGAUAUAUAUAUAUAUAUAUAUAUAUAUAUAUAUAUAUAUAUAUAUAUAUAUAUAUUUUGAGAUGGGGUCUCGCUCUGUCGCCCAGUCUGGAGAGCAGUGGCGCGAUCUUGGCUUGCAGUGAGACAUUUUUAUCCAUCCUGAUCACAGCACUUGCCUCCGGGCUCAUGAAGCCCAGCAUGUUACUGCUGUUCUGAACGUCUCUGCUUUUUGAGAGACAUGUUUAAUGAAUUGGGAGUAUCUGUGCACAUUGCAUUCACUUAAAAAGGGAAAAAUACCUUUUAACAGUUAUAGCUACAGAAAUUCAAUUUAGUUUAUUUAGGAGGAAAUGAGAGACUUGAAUUGUAGGUGUGAAAUCUUACAAUCUUUCAGAAUGAUUUGGUUUGGGGGAUGGUUGGAACUGCAUGGAAUUCCUUCAGCCAAAAUAAUUUUUGUGAGCACAUUCCCAAGCUCACGAUCAUGUUUUGAUAAGAAAAAUCCCUUUCUCCACAAGUUCUCAGGUCCCACUCAUUGGCCCCUGCCCUCAUUUCUGGAACCUAUGUUAGGCAGUUAUGUGGCUCAGUUCUUGGUGAUAUGUUUUCAAUUUGAGUCAACUUGAUGAGAGAAAAAUUACUAAAAAGUGGGAAUGAGCUGUGAGGUGAACAGGGUUUUCCUAUCAAAGUGGAGGUAUUUUUAAAAGCAUUUAUUAUUUCAAACUCAAACAUUUAUAGAAAGCCAUGAGUGUGAAGUGUAUGAUUACCAGUUGUGGCUUGCUGCAUUGAAAAAUUCAAGUUCAUAGGAAAUAUUUACUGAGGCUCUGGUUUGCAAGCAGUUUGUUCAAGAGAACAAUUUGGUCCAGAAGGCAUGUCAGCCAAAAAAGAGUUUACUAAUAUAGUAGUAACAGGCAAUUAGGAUUCAUAAGCAUCGCCAUGGCUGAGACAUGAUUUAAGGUCUUAGAUGGAAAGAGUUCUGUUAUUAAGAUAACAGAAUUUAAAUGCUGUAUCUGUCUAGGUCUUAUGCAUGUCAGAAGUGAGAAAACUACUUCUUCAUUUUCCAUUUUUAUGAGCUCUGAUGUAACACAGUUUUUUUUUUUUUCUGUGUUGAAAAUGAUGAAUAUAGUUCUUGGCACAUUUGUUCCAUAGUAAAGAAGAAUUUAACUUGCAAGUGAAAAACCUCUGCCUUUGGCCAUGGAUUAAAAAGAUGUUAUAUGAUGAAGUUUACUUCCUAAGGAAAGGUUAGUUUUGUGUGGCACUUUCUGAAAAUUUGUUUGGGACAUAUACAAUUCUUUUGUAUAAAUUCUGGAGGUCUGAGGAAAAUUACUUAAUCACAUUAGAUGAGAACAUUUCUUUUUGUGUGAAUUGAGUUCUUAUCAAGGUUCUGAUGUUUUUUCUCAUGUAUUUGCCCUUGGGUUCAUCUCAAUACAAUGCAUUUGUGUACUAUUGAAUAAAAAGCAGGCUGCAACAGUAUUUAUGACAUAUGAUCCUAUAUACACGUAAAAUCUUGUGUGUGUGUUUGUGUGUGCACAUGCAUAUAAAAAAAACUACAUUGUUAAAGUUGUUAAUAGUUAACUCCCGGUGGUGGGUUUUAAGUGAUUAUUAUUUUCUUUGUAUAAGAAAAAUAGUGCACAGUUUUCUUUUGUUGUUACGAAAGGUGUCAUACAUUUGAAAGAGGACAUAUGCACAGUUUAAAUAAUAAUAACAUAGUGAAUACCCACUGCUUGGCUGAAAAAAAUAAUUUAUUACUCUGUUGCAGAAGGCAAGCCUUCCUUCUGCCCCUGCCUCUGUCAUGGAGGUAGCUACUUGCUUGAAUUUUGUGCUAAUCAUGUCUUUGCUUUCUUAUAUAGUUUAGCCAGCUGUGAAUGUCUCCAUAAAACAUACACAGUUUUAUUUUGAUUGUUUUUGAACUUUAAAUAAAUGAAAUCAUACUGGAUA
rnacentral:lncRNA from 10 species